rnacentral:rRNA from 1 species
CCUACGGGGGGCAGCAGUGGGGAAUAUUGCACAAUGGGCGCAAGCCUGAUGCAGCCAUGCCGCGUGUGUGAAGAAGGCCUUAGGGUUGUAAAGCACUUUCAGCGAGGAGGAAGGCAUCACACUUAAUACGUGUGGUGAUUGACGUUACUCGCAGAAGAAGCACCGGCUAACUCCGUGCCAGCAGCCGCGGUAAUACGGAGGGGGCAAGAGAUAAACGGAGUUACUGGGCGUAAAGCGCACGCAGGCGGUUUGGUAAGUCAGAGGUGAAAUCCCCGUGCUUAAAGUGGGAACGUCAUGUGAAACUGGCAAGCUGGAGUCGUGGAGAGGUGGGUAGAAUUCCAGGUGUAGAGGUGAAGUGCGUAGAGAUCUGGAGGAAUACCGGUGGCGAAGGCGGCCCCCUGGACAAAGACUGACGCUCAGGUGCGAAAGCGUGGGGAGCAAACAGGAUUAGAUACCCGGGUAGUC